rnacentral:rRNA from 1 species
GACGAACGCUGGCGGCGUGCUUAACACAUGCAAGUCGAACGGAAAGGCCUGCAGCUUGCUGCGGGUACUCGAGUGGCGAACGGGUGAGUAACACGUGGGUGAUCUGCCUUGCACUUCGGGAUAAGCUUGGGAAACUGGGUCUAAUACCGGAUAGGACAGCUGUUUAGUGUCAGUUGUGGAAAGUUUUUUCGGUGCAAGAUGAGCUCGCGGCCUAUCAGCUUGUUGGUGGGGUAAUGGCCCACCAAGGCGUCGACGGGUAGCCGGCCUGAGAGGGUGUACGGCCACAUUGGGACUGAGAUACGGCCCAGACUCCUACGGGAGGCAGCAGUGGGGAAUAUUGCACAAUGGGCGGAAGCCUGAUGCAGCGACGCCGCGUGGGGGAUGAAGGCCUUCGGGUUGUAAACUCCUUUCGACAGGGACGAAGCGUAAGUGACGGUACCUGUAUAAGAAGCACCGGCUAACUACGUGCCAGCAGCCGCGGUAAUACGUAGGGUGCGAGCGUUGUCCGGAAUUACUGGGCGUAAAGAGCUCGUAGGUGGUUUGUCGCGUCGUCUGUGAAAUUCCGGGGCUUAACUCCGGGCGUGCAGGCGAUACGGGCUGACUUGAGUGCUGUAGGGGAGACUGGAAUUCCUGGUGUAGCGGUGAAAUGCGCAGAUAUCAGGAGGAACACCGAUGGCGAAGGCAGGUCUCUGGGCAGUAACUGACGCUGAGGAGCGAAAGCAUGGGUAGCGAACAGG